rnacentral:sRNA from 1 species
CUCAGCCUUCCGAGUAGCUGGGAUUACAGGCGCCUGCCACUACGCCCAGCAAAUUUUUUGUAUUUUUAGUAGAGACAGGGUUUCACCAUGUUGGCCAGGCUGGUCUCAAACUCCUGACCUCAUGAUUUGCCUGCCUUGGUCUCCCAAAGUGCUGGGAUUACAGGCGUGAGCCACCACGCCCGGCCAUAAUCUGUUCAAGUUUCUUAGUUGUAGUUGCCUCCAUUUCUUUAUAAAAUGAAGCCAUUCAACAUUUUAAGUAUAAGGUUUAGUGCAAUAUAAGGUUUAGAGAUAGGGCAAGUUCUUAGGUUAAAAGUUAAUGUUCAAAUAUAACAUCUAUUUUUUCUUUCCUGCAGCAAACCAAGAGGAAGCUAGAUGAUGCCAGCAAACGUUUGGAGUUUCUGUAUGAUAAACUUAGGGAACAGACACUUUCACCAACAAUCACCAGUGGUUUACACAACAUUGCAAGGAGCAUUGAAACUCGAAACUACUCAGAAGGAUUGACCAUGCAUACCCACAUAGUUAGCACCAGCAACUUCAGUGAGACCUCUGCUUUCAUGCCAGUUCUCAAAGUUGUUCUCACCCAGGCCAAUAAGCUGGGUGUCUAAAAGGACAGCUUCUCUUCCACUCAAUAUUGCCAUUUU